GCUGUGGACUCGUCUCAUGUCCUCCACCGUACUUGUUGUUCUUCCUCUUUGUCUGAACCAGCAGGAAGUGUGAGUACAGGUCCGUCAGGGUCUUGGGCAGCUCUCCUCUCUGGUCUGUGGUCAACAUGUGCUCCAGAACUGUAGCACUGAUCCAGCAGAAGACUGGGAUUUGACACAUGAUGUGGAGGCUCCUGGACGUCUUGAUGUGUGAGAUGAUUCUGCUGCUCAGCUCCUCAUCACUGAAUCUCCUCCUGAAGUACUCCUCCUUCUGGGCGUCAGUGAAGCCUCGUACUUCUGUCACCCUGUCAACACAUGUAGGAGGGAUCUGAUUGGCCGCCGCAG
rnacentral:misc_RNA from 1 species